UACGUAGGGGGCAAGCGUUGUCCGGAAUUACUGGGCGUAAAGGGCGCGUAGGCGGCCAUAUAAGUCAGAUGUGAAAGUCCAGGGCUCAACCGUGGAAUUGCAUUUGAAACUGUAUGGCUUGAGUGCAGGAGAGGAGAGCGGAAUUCCUAGUGUAGCGGUGAAAUGCGUAGAUAUUAGGAAGAACACCAGUGGCGAAGGCGGCUCUCUGGACUGUAACUGACGCUGUGGCGCGAAAGCGUGGGUAGCGAACAGGAUUAGAUACCCUGGUAGUCCACGCCGUAAACGAUGAGUGCUAGGUGUUGGGGGUCGAACCUCAGUGCCGCAGCAAACGCAUUAAGCACUCCGCCUGGGGAGUACGACCGCAAGGUUGAA
rnacentral:rRNA from 1 species